GCGUCUGUGGUGUAACGAUUCAGCGCGCGCUCCCUGAAAGAGUGAGAUGUGGGUUCGAGUACCGGCUGACGCA